rnacentral:lncRNA from 10 species
CUGGCUUAGUGAAACAAGAGGGCAAAGGAAGCAAUCAGAUAUGCAUUUGUUUCACUUGAGCAGAGGGAUGACUUUGAUUUCUGUGUGCCCUUCAUCCACAAAGAAUUUCCUUGUGGGCAAACUGUGAGGGAGUAGAGAUCAGAACAGGACAAAUUCUUGUCCUUUCAUGUACCUCCAACUGACAUCAACUUGUAGAAACAGCACUGAAGAUGGUCUGAAUGGGAACUAUUACAACACUGGGAGAAAUAGAAGAUAAUCUUAUUAUCGGGGAAAUAGUUACUACAGCCACACCAGCGUACAAUAAUCUCAGGACUUCAGUGAAGCACAUGGAAUGGAUGACAUUGUCGUGGUCAUUCUUGGAAAUUACAGUCUGAAACUGAAGCAUAUGCAAAAUGCACCUGAAAAUUCAGACAUCUGUGCCUUGUAAGGAAAGGAGACACCACAGAUCACCCUUUGGGAGAUUGAAAAAAAAGAGCAAUAAAAAUAGUGGAGCUAAGACCUGGGAGCCUCCCACCCACAACUGGCGACUGAUGACAUGAUGUCAGAUUCACUCCAUCUUUUAAAAUAUAAAUGAAAUAAAACAAAUGAAGCUGCCUUUGUAUCAUCCCUGCUUCUGUCUCC